rnacentral:rRNA from 1 species
GACGAACGCUGGCGGCGUGCCUAAUGCACGCAAGUCGAACGCAUUCUUCGGAAUGAGUGGCGCACGGCUGAGGAACACGUGACUAACCUACCCCGGUGUGGGGGAUAACGGGUCGAAAGACUCGCUAAUCCCGCAUACGAUAUUGCAAGAUAGGAAAGCCGCAAGGCGCACUGGGCGGGGGUCGCGUCCCAUUAGAUCGUUGGUGUGGUAAUGGUGCACCAAGUCGAUGAUGGGUCUCUGGUCUGAGAGGACGACCAGAAAGAUUGGGACUGAGACACGGCCCAAACUCCUACGGGGGGCAGCAGCAAGGAAUUUUCGGCAAUGGGCGCAGGCCUGACCGAGCAACGCCGCGUGGAGGAUGACGGCUCUUGGGUUGUAAACUCCUUUUGGGGGGGACGAUGAUGACGGUACCCUCCGAAUCAGGCCCGGCUAACUACGUGCCAGCAGCCGCCGUAACAC